GCCUGAGGGGCGAGGGCCUUCGGGUCGUAAAACUCUGGCCUCAAGGAAGAUAAUGACGGUACUUGAGGAGGAAGCCCCGGCUAACUACGUGCCAGCAGCCGCGGUAAUACGUAGGGGGCUAGCGUUAUCCGGAGUUACUGGGCGUAAAGGGGGCGUAGGCGGUCUUUCAAGUCAGGAGUGAAAGGCUACGGCUCAACCGUAGUAAGCUCUUGAAACUGGGAGACUUGAGUGCAGGAGAGG
rnacentral:rRNA from 1 species